AUCACCAGUAAAGUAUGGAGUACCACAAGGAUCUGUCCUAGGUCCUCUGCUAUUUUCAGUAUACAUGUUGCCCCUUGGUAAUAUUAUUAGAAAAUACGGGAUUAGUUUUCAUUGUUAUGCUGAUGAUACUCAACUAUAUAUCUCAACAAGACCAGAUGAAACUUCUAAGCUAACAGAGUGUGUUCAAAUGUAAAAGAUUGGAUGACCAAUAAUUUUCUUCUAUUAAAUUUGGAUAAGACAGAGAUAUUACUUAUUGGACCAAAAAACAGUACACAGAAUCUCUUGGAUUACAAUUUGCAACUAGACGGAUGAACUGUUACUUCCUCUACAGUUGAAAAUCUAGGUGUUAUAUUCCUUUGAAAAUCAUAUUUCCCAUGUUACAAAAACAGCAUUCUUCCAUCUUAGAAACAUUGCCAAGCUUCGAAACAUGUUACCUGUUUCUGAUGCAGAAAAGCUAGUUCAUGCAUUCAUGACCUCUAGACUGGACUAUUGUAACGCACUGCUAGGUGGUUGUCCUGCGUCUUCAAUAAACAAGCUUCAGGUGGUCCAAAAUGCGGCGGCUAUAGAGUCCUUACCAGUUCAAGAAAAUAUGAUCAUAUUGCCCCAAUUUUACGGUCUCUACUCUGGCUGACUAUUAAGUUCCGUAUCAGUUACAAAAUAUGAUUACUUACCUAUAAGACCCUUAAUGGUUUAGCUCCUACGUACUAUAACUAGUCUUCUAUCUCGCUACAAUCCAUCCCGCUCCCUAAGGUCGCAAAACUCUGGACUUUUGGUAGUACCUAGGAUAGCAAAGUCCACUAAAGGAGUUAGAGUUUAUUCGCAUUUGACUCCCAAACUAUGGAAUAGCCUUCCUGAUAAAUUUCGGGGUUCAGACACAUUCUCUCAGUUUAAAUCUAGAUUAAAGACACAUCUCUUUAGCCAAGCAUUCAUAUAAUGCGUCUCAUAAUCUUGUACUGCAGUUAUACCUGAUCAAAUGCCCAUUAUUAUUCUUUAGCUUGGGUUGAACAAAUCAUUUUUGCUUGGUUGGAACAGCAACUACGCUAAUUAUUUCUCUAUUUGUUUCUCUGUUUCUGCCACGGGAUUGACAUCCUGUGGUAACUAGGGAUUACACAAGCUUCAAUCUGGAUCCAACCUUUAAAAGAUCUGAGAAGACAUGAUGCCAACCCCUCAGAGGACCCCAGAUGAUGCCAACCCUGAAACAACACAUAGCAACAUAUAAUCACUGCUGUUAAGUGUUCAUCGUGUGUUUGAUUACGUCAUUAACUGAUUUUUACCGUACAUUUCUGCCAUAUGCACAUCAACUUGACAUAGUCACCACUGAUAAGCUACUACUAAAUAUCUUGUAGAAACUUAAUUUCCUGUAAAGCUGCUUGGCAACGAUUUGUAUCUUGAAAAGCGCUAUACAAAUAAACUUGAAUUGAGUUGAAUUAUAUACAAUAUAUGCAUAUAUAUUGUUACUAUAUGCUUUCUUUGAAUAGCAUGUUAACAUGCUGAUAAACUUCUCUUUUUGUGUUCCACAGAAGAAAGACAAUGAGGUUUACGAAGGUUUACAGUGACUUAAUGAUUAUGGGUCAACAGAAUCCUGUCAUGGUAAUAUAGAUGUGUUGCAGUUAUAUCAACAUGAUCCACCCCAGUGACCCUAUCUGUGUGAGGUGAGGACAUCCUGUCUACAAUAAUUAGAACUGUGUCAUGUGUAAACGCGCAGUCGUCCACAACACAGAGGCAUGCUCACCUCUGACACUUCACUGUCAGACGGUUUCCUGACAAACCUCAACACACGGCUUAACAUUGUAGAGGUGAGGAUCAACAUCAUCUGCCGCUGUAGAACUAUUAAAGAUGAAGGUAACAUUCUUCAGGGAUUGUCUCCGUUGCCUCCUUUAGUCCCAAAGGAUUAUUUAAUCGCUCUGUCAACAAUGGUUUUGAGAGACACAGGAUUACUACAAUACAGUUCAUGAUAUUUGCUUUAGUCCUUUGAAAGUUUAUGUCGGUGAAACGGGUAACGUGUAAUAUUCAUUCUCAGUCUGUAAACAUAAGCUCUCUCUCCUCCAUCCCUCGCUCUGUGCCUGCAUUCGUCUUUGCAUCUCACCUCCGCCCUUCUUUCUCCGGUGUCACCUCUAUCACAGUCUAAUUGGAAUUCUGUCACAAGGUAAAUGCUUUGUGACCAGUUAGUGACAGGUGAGUCGUCCCACCACGAGAAUCCUGGAGACAAUCACCAUCACCUGGACAGCACAGAGCGGGACAGAGGCGUUAAAGCCAGAGGGGGGCCAUGCUCGGCACUGACCUGACACCUCCAUCAGGACAGUAAGAGCCAGUUCGGAAUGCCAGUGUGCCUGUAAUAGACUAUGUGACUGACUGACUGGAUUCAUACUAACCACAUCCCUACUCAUUUCCCUUGCCAAUUAAAUGGAGGAGAUGUGAUGCCUCGCUACCUCUCACAGCCCUCCCCCUCAACCGCCACCUAUCUUGGACACAGGAUAACAGGAGAACAAGCAGUUUGGGAAAUGGAUGGAUGUGCACUUUUCAACCUACUUCAAAACUGAGGUUUUUCAUGAUUUCCCUUAAGAACAGCAGUAUAAGAGGUCAGUAAGGCGUGCCACAAGGUUCCUGACAGCUCUCAUUUUUAACCCCCUCCCAUCUGUGACUUUGCCUUAAGGCUCAGAGUUUGCCUCCACUAAUUCGUGGUGACGUGGGAUGAGGCCGCCCUUGCCAGGGAUUGGCAAAGGCCGAGGGCCUCAUCAUGACAGUGAAGUGA